rnacentral:rRNA from 1 species
CCUACGGGAGGCAGCAGUAGGGAAUUUUCCGCAAUGGGCGAAAGCCUGACGGAGCAAUACCGCGUGAGGGAUGACGGCCUGUGGGUUGUAAACCUCUUUUCUCAAGGAAGAAGUUCUGACGGUACUUGAGGAAUAAGCAUCGGCUAACUCUGUGCCAGCAGCCGCGGUAAUACAGAGGAUGCAAGCGUUAUCCGGAAUCACUGGGCAUAAAGCGUCUGUAGGUUGUUUAGUAAGUCUGCUGUUAAAGACUGGGGCUUAACCCCAGAAAAGCAGUGGAAACUGCUAGACUCGAGUGUGGUAGAGGUAGAGGGAAUUCCUAGUGUAGCGGUGAAAUGCGUAGAUAUUAGGAAGAACACCAAUGGCGAAGGCACUCUACUGGGCCAUAACUGACACUGAGAGACGACAGCUAGGGGAGCAAACGGGAUUAGAUACCCCGGUAGUCCUAGCCGUAAACGAUGGAUACUAGAUGUUGCACGUAUUAACCCGUGCAGUAUCGUAGCUAAGGCGUUAAGUAUCCCGCCUGGGAAGUACGCUCGCAAGAGUGAAACUUAAAUGAAUUGACGG